CAGGGAGGCCUGGCGUGCUGCGGUUCACGGGGUCACAAAGAGUUGGACACCACUGAGCGACUGAACUGAACUGACAUUUAACAACAUACUCAGAGCACCAACCUCUGGGCUGGGCAGACUAGUAGCGUGCAGUGUCUGGAAAGGGUCUCCCUUUCCAACCCAGAGCAACUGAAGAGUCUCUCUGAAGUAGGCCUGCAUGGCCCUGCCCUUCAACCUGGACAGCCUCUAUUGUUUUGACUGCUUCAUCGCAUGGCAAACUCUGGCUAAUCUUCAAGAUCAUCAAAAUCCAUCUAGCCCCACCUCACUCUCCUCUGCUCCAGCCAGAAUCUACUCACUCACUCACUCAGCAAACAUUUUUGGGUGCCCACCACAUGCCAACAUGCUGCUGGAUGCUGGGAACGUGGAAAUGAAAAGCUGCCCACCCUCGAACAGCUCACAAGCGCCUUUCUGGUCCUGACUUCUGCAUGGCUUACCCUUGGAAUUCAACUCAAAAUGAGAGGAGACCUCCAGCUAUCUCUGAAACACUUUCCACCAAGAAUUUGCUAAAACUAUAGCUUUAAAACCUUCAACAAAGUUUUUAAAUGUAAGAAGCUCUUCAAAUAAAGUCUGAGGUGGACACUCAACAUAGCAACCCUAAAAGCAGAGCUGACCUGGUUGGAGACGUGAGGAGAGCCUGCAGCUGCUUACUCAGGAGGCAGGCAUCCAGCUCUGCACUAACAGCCCCCGUUGCACGCCCCAGGAUUAAACACCACUAAGCAUGAUGGCAAGCUCAUUUUGCCCACAAAUAUGUGUAAACUCAAUACACGGCCAAACGUGACAUUACAGAUUAAUGGAGGAAAAGAUGGCUCUUUCCAGCAAACAGAACCAGAACAAAUGGUUAGCCACAUAGACCAGAAAAGAAAGUUAGAUCCCAACCUCACACCACUCACAAAAAGAAAUUCUGCAUUUAUGCAAGUCAGAUUUCUGAGAGGUGAAACUGAAAAAAUAUUUAAAAGAACACAAAGGAGAA
rnacentral:lncRNA from 1 species